rnacentral:rRNA from 1 species
GCUGGGCAAGACCGGUGCCAGCCGCCGCGGUAAUACCGGCGGCUCGAGUGGUGGCCACUAUUACUGGGCUUAAAGCGUCCGUAGCUGGGUUGUUAAGUCUCCUGGGAAAUCUACCGGCUCAACCGAUGGGCGUUCAGGAGAUACUGGCAACCUAGGGACCGGGAGAGGUGAGGGGUACUCCAGGGGUAGGAGUGAAAUCCUGUAAUCCUUGGGGGACCACCUGUGGCGAAGGCGUCUCACCAGAACGGCUCCGACAGUGAGGGACGAAAGCUGGGGGAGCAAACCGGAUUAGAUACCCGGGUAGUCCCAGCCGUAAACGAUGCGCGUUAGGUGUGUCGGUGACCACGAGUCACCGAGGUGCCGAAGGGAAACCGUGAAACGUGCCGCCUGGGAAGUACGGUCGCAAGGCUGAAACUUAAAGGAAUUGGCGGGGGAGCACCACAACGGGUGGAGCCUGCGGUUUAAUUGGACUCAACGCCGGGCAGCUCACCGGAUAAGACAGCUGGAUGAUAGCCGGGCUGAAGACUCUGCUUGACUAGCUGAGAGGAGGUGCAUGGCCGUCGUCAGUUCGUACUGUGAAGCAUCCUGUUAAGUCAGGCAACGAGCGAGACCCACGCCAACAGUUGCCAGCAUGUCCUCCGGGAUGAUGGGGACACUGUUGGGACCGCCUCUGCUAAAGAGGAGGAAGGAAUGGGCAACGGUAGGUCAGCAUGCCCCGAAUUAUCCGGGCUACACGCGGGCUACAAUGGUCAGGACAAUGGGUAUCGACACCGAGAGGUGGAGGCAAUCUCCUAAACCUGUCCUUAGUUCGGAUUGUGGGCUGCAACUCGCCCACAUGAAGCUGGAAUCCGUAGUAAUCGCGUUUCAAAAUAGCGCGGUGAAUAUGUCCCUGCUCCUUGCACACACCGCCCGUCAAACCACCCGAGUGAGGUCUUGAUGAGGCUGCGGUAGUCGCCGCGGUCGAAUCUGGGUUUCGCAAGGGGGGUUAAGUCGUAACAAGGUAGCCGUAGGGGAAUCUGCGGCUG